rnacentral:rRNA from 1 species
GACGAACGCUGGCGGCGUGCUUAACACAUGCAAGUCGAACGAUGAAGCCGGAGCUUGCUCUGGUGAAUUAGUGGCGAACGGGUGAGUAACACGUGAGUAACCUGCCCUUGACUCUGGGAUAACUGCGGGAAACUGUAGCUAAUACCGGAUACGACCCUCGGAGGCAUCUCCUGGGGGUGGAAAGAAUUUCGGUCAAGGAUGGACUCGCGGCCUAUCAGCUAGUUGGUGAGGUAAAGGCUCACCAAGGCGACGACGGGUAGCCGGCCUGAGAGGGUAACCGGCCACACGGGGACUGAGACACGGCCCAGACUCCUACGGGAGGCAGCAGUGGGGAAUAUUGCACAAUGGGCGCAAGCCUGAUGCAGCAACGCCGCGUGAGGGAUGACGGCCUUCGGGUUGUAAACCUCUUUUAGCAGGGAAGAAGCGAAAGUGACGGUACCUGCAGAAAAAGCACCGGCUAACUACGUGCCAGCCGCCGCUGUAA